GUGGGUAUAUUAGGAAGCUUCCAUCUAUGCAAUAUUUAAACCGGUAUCUUUCUAUUUUCCCACAG